CGAAAUGGGAGGGGGGGGGUUGGGACUGGAAGAAACGACGGUAGGCUCCCGCUAUGGCGCAUGCGCGCGGCGCCCCCUGGCGUCCCUCCGGGGAUUGGCUCAGCGUGGUCCCUGCCCGUCUCGGUUUGGUGCUCGCACAAGCUCUCUUAGGCAUACAGAGGAAGUGCUGUAUCCCCCAUUUUACAGAUGAGGAUGUCGAGGCUCAGAGGGUCACAGCCACUGUAGGAGCAGGAUUUGAACUCGGGGCUUCCUGCCUCCAGCCCUGUUGAUUGCCCUCUGUUUUUGCCCGGUGAUAACUGUCUACACCUUCCGACCCUGGACGCCCCCUCCCCGGUGCAGGGAUCAUUUCCUUGUGUAUCGUGGCCCUCUUUCCUCAUAAGAUGAUGAUUAGAGGGGGAAACUGAGUCUCAGAGGAGGGAAGUGACCUGCACGAGGUGAGCCGGAGUUAACAAGUGGCGGAGCUGGGAUUUCCUUCCAUGUUUCUGAGUCCAGAUUUGGCGUUCCUUCUCUGUCGUACUGUUCUGUGUUCUCGCCGUGGUCACCCGCCAGCGCUUGGCUUCCAUCUCCAGCCUGUCCCACGUUGGCUGAGCGCCUGACUGUGGACGCAGCAGAUGUCUGGGAAAUGGUCUCGCUUCCUCCAUCGGGGCUGGAACGUUGUUUUCCUUCAGACACUGUAGAAGAUGAGCGUUGAGAGGCUUGGAUUAGGAGAUCCCGGCUCUGACGUUUCUCGGAUCUGACCCCUUCCUUCCCCUCUGAGCAGGGGCAGAACCUGCGCUGUCCCAGGCCUGCCUUCUCUGCCUUCUCUGUCCGCUGCCAGGUGGUUCCCUUUCCUCUUGGGCUCUCUUCAGGACCAGCUCUCUGUGCCUUCCGAGGUAGCAGCUAACUCGGUACAAUAGAGAGGGCCCAAGUGACUGUAAGCAUGUGGAAUCCUUCCUUGGGGUUGCAUCACCGAGCAUCAGUGAAGCUGAAGUUAAGGAAAAAUUCCUUCUGUUCAAGUUAUGUUUCAACCACAUGUUCUGCCUUGCCACAAUGAAAGGGUUUUGCACCAGAAAGUUAAAAGGAGCAGUGUCAGGGAAUAAAUAGGAAGGCAGAUUCUGAAUUCAAGAAGCAGCUCUGAGCUUACGCCGGUCAGCAUGAUCUGCAACGGGAUCCCUCUCUGGCAAAUUUUAGUGUGAGAAAAGUGGUCAGACUGGUUAAAUAUUCUCCAGCAAGAAAUUUUCUUUUGCAAUAAUCUUGAAAUAAUCAAGAAAAAAAAAA